GCGGGUGUAGCUCAAUUGGGAGAGCAUUCGAUUUGUAAUCGAACUGUUGAAGGUCCGAAUCCUUCCGCCCGCC
rnacentral:tRNA from 1 species